ensembl:lncRNA
GUAGAAUAUGUACUCCACCAAAAAAAUAGUAAGUAAUUCCAUCCAUCCAUCUUCAAACCACUUAUGGUGCACACAGGGUCGUUGGGGGCUGCAAUCAAUCCCAGCCAAUUUUGGGCGAGAGACAGGGUACACCCUGGAUUGGUUGCCAGCCAAUUGCAGGGCUACACAGAGACCAACUAACAUUCAAACUCACAUCCACACACCUACGGGCAAUUUAGAGCCACCAAUUAACCUGAUCCCCAGAGCAUGUCUUUAGACUGUGGGAGGAAGCCAGAGGACCCGGAGAGAACCCACGCCGACAGGGGGAGAAUAUGCAGACUGCACAGAGAAAGGCCACAGGGAGAAGUCGAACUCAGGACAUUCUUGCUGUGAGGCGACAGUGCUAACCAUGACCCCACUGUGCAGCCCGUAUGGCAUUCCAAUAUAUUUAAAGGCUUUGCUUCGAAUUCAGCAUUCUGCAAAUGUGCUUCUUCCCCUUUCUGAGAGACAUCAAUUUCAGAUUGCAAAUUUACAUUUACACGCACGUGGCUUCAGCAGACGUCUCUAUUGGACAUAAUAAAUGUUUACACUCUUUACAUUGAUGUUUUUACCAAGGAUAUCUCAAAUAAUCUAAAUGGUGAUACUGCAAGACAAGUUCAUCUUUGUUGGGAUGAGGUCAGCCUGUGAGAUUAUAACUCAAUGAUUUGAAUAAUAAAUAAUCUUUUUCAAUGUGUAGCCAGUGAGAAAAUGUCCUUCCUGAGCUACUGUAGGUUCAGGCAGGCCUUGGUACCUCCUACUUCCUGGUUCACCCAUUAGAAAGGGUAUAAAGCUGCCCAUAAUGAAGCUGCUUUUGGCAUGCUUGUCCCUUUCUGUGUUGGAGAGUGGCUGGAGAAGCCAGUGAGCUGCUCGUCAGGGAGGCCCAAACCAUGUGUGAGCCAUACCAGGUGGAGGAGCCUCAAAGUAACUCCAGGCUGGCAUUAGAAGCCAUUGCUGUUUUGUGUUGCUUGUUCAGUUCUGGUCUGGAGUUUCUUCAUGUUUGUAAUAUUAGUUAGUUUGCAGAUUACUUUUGACUGCUAUGGCUGGUUCUACACCUGCAGAAUCAAGAUGACCAAUGGAAAAACUAAAACUUCCAAUGUUCGGAAGUUAGGGUUGGUUCAAAAUGCGUUUGGCAAGAAACCUGGUGGAGACCGUGGUGCCAUGAAAGCAAACAAAAGGACGGUCCAGAGAGUUGGUCGAGCAGUUUCAGCCUCCUCUGACGGUGGAAAUUACCAGCACUCUUUAGUGAUUUGAGAGAACGGAUGAUCCAGAGAAGACAACAGGGUCCUGCCUUCGGCUCCCUAGGAGCGGCCAAGCAACUUCAGCCUCCUGUGAAAAUUGAGAGGUAAGACCCUUUCUCAGUACUGCUUUUCAUGUCCUGCUGUGAAAGUCUAAUAAAAUGUUAGAAUGCCAGACGGUUGGUUGGUUAACUGCAUCUGCUGCUAAUAUAUACUGAACUAAUUCAGUUUUUAUCUGCGCUUUCCCAGUGUGUAAAAAGAUGCAUUCUUGUCAGUGUUUAAAUAUUUCUUGUUUGCUGAAGUACUGUUGUGCUACCACACAGGACGAUUCAGAGAACACUACAGGCUCCUGCUUCAGAGGCAUGCAGCUUUAGCCUCCUGUGGAAAUUGCCUUAUGCUCCUGCAAAAUUAGCGAUUUGACUAACUGGAUGAUAGAAUCCAACUCUCUACAGGCUUUGGCAAAAGG